rfam:Asian citrus Psyllid, Diaphorina citri - Florida Strain, whole genome shotgun sequence.
GGCAGCGGUGAUAGGACGUUGAAUGCACCAGGUCCCCAUGAAUCACUGAGGAUGAGCAACGUUGAGCGUGGUUAGUAUCUGGAUGGUUGACCAUCUGGGCAAUACCUUGAGUCUCGAGCC